rnacentral:misc_RNA from 1 species
AGUUGGAUAAGGGAGGAGGAGAGAUGGGUUACAAGAACCAGAAGGAGAAGCAUCAUAAAUGCCUUCUAUCUGUGACUUCAUGGACUACCCAAUUCACAUCUCUACAAAACAAGAGAGAAUUUAGCAAAUGAAUAUGCUAUAGUUUUGUUGUGUUUAUUUCCUUAAUAGAGUGCAGAGAUGAGUGUUUUACGAUGCAAAUCUUUUAUUCAAUACAAGAUCUAAAUUUGAAAAUUAUAUA